rnacentral:lncRNA from 1 species
UAGAUUUGAUAUGGAUCUUUAAGAAUCCUCUCACUUUUAAGCUCAGAGAUUGCUUUGUCUUUUUCAAAUUGGAGAUUCUUAGGUAUGACAUUGAAUUGAUGACUAGAUCCAGAUGGUUGGUGGGUAUUAUUUUCGAAAGUCGACAUUGGUUGGCUCGACAAUUGACCUAGUUCUCUCCUCAUGGUAGACUCAGCUAAUUAACCUAUUUGUGCAUCUAGCCUGGUAAGAGAUUGCUGUUGGAUCAUAAUCAUUUGUUAAAGUUGGCUAAACCUAUCAUCGACUAGAGGGGUAUGUUGAGGAGGUGGGUAUGGAGGCUGAUUGUAAUAGGAUGGCUGAGUAGGCUGACUAGGCUGACCUCUAUUAUAAGCAUAAUUUUGGUAUUGGGGUCUAUUCUGAAAGUUUUGCAUCGAAAGAAUUUGGGUCUGAGCCUGAGUCUAUUGGGGUCUCCAAAAAAAAUUAAGAUGGUUCCUUCAAUCUUGGUUAUAUGUAUUAAAGAAUGGAUCAUUGAUAGGAUUGGAGUAACCUUGAGUAGCUUGAACUUGUUCUUGG